GAUGAACGCUAGCUACAGGCUUAACACAUGCAAGUCGAGCGACCGGUGCACGGGUGAUUAACACGUAUCCAACCUGCCCUUUACUCGGGCAUAGCCUUUCGAAAGAAAGAUUUAUACCCGAUAUCAAGGAUGGGGAUGCGUCCCAUUAGGUUGUUGGUGAGGUAACGGCUCACCAAGCAUUCGAUUGAUAGGGGUUCUGAGAGGGAGGUCCAGCAGAUUGGAACUGAGAGACAGACGAAACUGGUACGCGAGGCAGAAGUGAGGAAUAUGGGUAAAGAAGCGCUAGCCUGAACCAGCCAAGUAGCGUGAAAGAUGAAGGCUUAUGGGUAGUAAACUUCUUAUAUAGAAGAAUAUGUAUUAUAAGAAUAAGGAUCGGCUAACUCCGUGCCAGCAGCCGCGGUAAUUC
rnacentral:rRNA from 1 species